rnacentral:rRNA from 1 species
UGACCGCUGGCGGCAUGCCUUACACAUGCAAGUCGAACGGUAACAGGUCUUCGGAUGCUGACGAGUGGCGAACGGGUGAGUAAUACAUCGGAACGUGCCCAGACGUGGGGGAUAACGAGGCGAAAGCUUUGCUAAUACCGCAUACGAUCUAAGGAUGAAAGCAGGGGACCGCAAGGCCUUGCGCGUUUGGAGCGGCCGAUGGCAGAUUAGGUAGUUGGUGGGAUAAAAGCUUACCAAGCCGACGAUCUGUAGCUGGUCUGAGAGGACGACCAGCCACACUGGGACUGAGACACGGCCCAGACUCCUACGGGAGGCAGCAGUGGGGAAUUUUGGACAAAGGGCGAAAGCCUGAUCCAGCAAUGCCGCGUGCAGGAUGAAGGCCUUCGGGUUGUAAACUGCUUUUGUACGGAACGAAAAGGCUCUGGCUAAUACCUGGGGCACAUGACGGUACCGUAAGAAUAAGCACCGGCUAACUACGUG